UACAGAGGUCUCAAGCGUUGUUCGGAUUCAUUGGGCGUAAAGGGUGCGUAGGCGGCGCGGUAAGUCGGGUGUGAAAUCUUGGAGCUUAACUCCGAAACUGCAUUCGAUACUGUCGGGCUUGAGUACGGAAGAGGCGAGUGGAAUUCCUGGUGUAGCGGUGAAAUGCGCAGAUAUCAGGAGGAACACCAAUUGCGAAGGCAGCUCGCUGGGACGUUACUGACGCUGAGACGCGAAAGCGUGGGGAGCGAACAGG
rnacentral:rRNA from 1 species